rfam:Felis catus isolate Cinnamon breed Abyssinian chromosome D2, whole genome shotgun sequence.
GUCUACGGCCAUACCACCCUGAACGCGCCCGAUCUCGUCUGAUCUCGGAAGCUGAGCAGGGUCGGGCCUGGUUAGUACUUGGAUGGGAGAAUAUCCUUCUUUUUGCU